rnacentral:lncRNA from 1 species
GUUUUUUCAGUCCUCUCUUCCCCCAGGACGUUGCUCAGACUGUGUCCAAGGGCUCCCUGUGCCCGCAGUGAGAUGACAGCUUUCCUGCUGCCGGUAACACUGAGGAAGGCUGAUUGAGCACAGCUUAGGGGACAAGGUCCCUGCAAAUCAGGGACACGGAGUAACUCCUGGUCCUCAGCACAGCCCCUAGAAGAGGGCGCCUCGCAGACCCAUUUCACACAUGAAGGAAGCAAGGUCAAAGCUCUGGCCCGGCCGCUCAUCAGCUUCCAGGGCUCUGCCCUCGGAGUCCACGCUCUGAAGCGGGGUCGCGUCAGGCAUCGCAUCCCCAGCAGCUCACCGAUCGCAGUUCCCAAACGGCCGUAUGCCGCACACGUCCCAGCUUCUUCCGGUGGCGAUGGCCACAGAGAUGCGAGUGCUGUCACUGCUGAACGCAGCAGAAGGGCUAAGUGCCCACUCAGCCCAGGGCAGAGGAGCACAAGGUUCCUCCAACCUCGAACAGGCUUCCUAGCGUUCCCAGACCCCGUGCCCUCCUUAGAGAGGGAAGGAUGCCACCUCCCUCAGGAGCCACUGCCAGGUCUGUGCCUGUACUUUGCACAUAUUGUCACCUCCGGUCCUACAACAACCCUCGGCGAUGGGCAGGCUCGCUAUCCCCACUUACAAGUGAGGAGACUGAAGAUCAGAAAGGAUAAGUGAGCGGGCCGUGAUCACUCAGCUACUGAGUGGCGGGGCCAGGAUCUGAACAGAGGGCUGGUGGCUCCAGGAUCUGCAGUCCUGCUGAAUUCUGGCGUUCCUCCCUCCUCUGACCCUCCAAGGCUGCCUGCACCUGUGGCAGAGAACACUGAGCUGCCUUUGCAUAAAUGUGCUCUCACACCAUGCUCUGCUUUUCCACAGGGCUGUUCAUUGCUUGACUUGGCACAAUUCACAGUCACGUGCCACACAGUGACAGACCACAUAUAGGGAGGUGGUCCCAUAGAUUAUAGUGGAACUAAAACAUUUCUAUUGCCAGGCCCCCCGGGGCUUUCUGAGUACAAGAAGGCUGCCUUUUUUUUUUUUUUUUUUUUAAAUCAGAGCCAUUGUAACAUUCUAGCACAAUGACUGUAUUUUUUAAAUUAAUUUAACCUAAGUACACAGUGGUUGGGUUAAAAUCUACAGUAGUGUACAGUCAUCCCCAAGGCCCUCCCAUUCACCAGCCCCUCACUCACUCACUCACCCAGGGCAAUGUCCAGUCCUGCAAGCUCCACUCAUGGUCAACAAGAUCUACCCUCUCAAAGGGCUCUUGAGUGAGCCCCAAAUUGGGUAUGACAGCAGCAUCCUCUCAGAGGCUCAGACUUCCUCAGCGCAGAUGAAUCAGACCAGAGACCAAUAUCGACUCUACUCUCAGUACCGUGGCCAUGCACGAUUUUCAGGCCACAUCAAGACUUGCACAGCCUCUGGCUUUCAGUGGGAACAGAACCAGCAGUCUUCCUGGACUUCUCCCUCCUACACAGCAACCAGGAGCAAACUGAUCCUCCGCGUAUCACAGGCUUUGUCGAGUUGUAAAACAGAACUCUAACUGGUAUCCGCCACUGAUAUCAUGCAACACCAGAUGGUGUCAUUUGAUCAAAGAAUUUUGCUAACAGAAAUCUCAGAUUUCUCUCUAAGCGAAAUGCCUUGACUUUGUGACUGAUUGUGCAAGAAUCUCAGGAAUUGAGAAAACAGCGUCUGUGUUGCUACAAGACUGCAGCUUUGGAUAAUACCCCCCUGCUUUUACUUUCUUCUCUGUCUUUAACUUCAAAAUGUAUUUUACACCCCAAAUAAUUGUUUACUAUUUGUUUCCUAGAACCUCAAAAGUCAUUAAUUUUUAAGAAAAGUCACUGUGCUUUGUUGGAAAACAACCUCAAACUUGAAUGGCUUCACGCCAGUAGUUGAAAAUAUUUUACAAUAGGCCACUUUCUGGAAAGUCUAAUAAAAAUCAUACUGAGCAUUUUUAUUCCUGUUUACACUUGUAGAGCAUUAUCACAAUUUAAAUUAUCUUCAGCCCAUAUAUAGCUUCAUAUUUUGCAGCCAGCAAUGAAGUUCUGCCCACAGUUUACGUUUACGACUUUCUUCUGAACUGCCGUAUUUAUGUUACUGUUUUCAUCACUACUCUUUUUUUGUACAUUUUACCACUUAAACAGUAAAUCUAUGUGUUUUGACAAAUGUGUACAGUUGACUAACCACCACCAAUGGUCAAGAUAUGGAGUAUUUCUAUUGCCAUAGAAAUAUUCCUCCAUAGAAAUAUUUCAAUUCCUCUCAAGCCCAUUUCUGCUCAAUCCCCUCUCCCCAUCCCCAGGGCUAGCAACUGCUGAUCUGUUUUGUCCUUAUGGUUUUGCCUUUUCCUGAAUAUCAUAUAAAUGGAAUCAGAUUUGUAGCCUUUCAAUUCUGGCUUCUUGCACUUAGCAUAAUGCCUUUGAGAUUCUUCUGCUUGUAUCAAGAAUUCAUUCCUUUGAUUGUUACCCAGUAUUCAGUCAUAUGGAUGUAUCACAAUUUAUUUACCAGUUGAGGGACACUUUGAUUCCAGUUUGGGGCAAUUAUGAAUAUAACUUUGAUGAAUAGC